CUCACUUAACAUAAAACAUGGAGUCAACUAAGGCUUCCAUUUAACUAGGCUAUCAAACACAAAGCCCUCAUUCUUACAAUACUCUUCUAAUGAUAGUUCCAUCUUUAUGAACAUUCCAGGAUCUCUACAUACAGUGUGAAAAAAAUAAGAGAAGAAAUGGAAGCCUAGAGGCAAGAUGACAGAAGAAACUGUAGUGUUAAUCCAGAUAAGACAUUGAAGAGCUAAACCAGGAUUUUGGGAAAAGAGAGGCCUGAGGAGAAGGAGAGAGAUGGAGAACAGCAUGUUGGUGGAGGAGUCAGCAUACAAAGUUUAUAGAUUAAGUUUGUCAUCCUAUAUGGACAGUUUUUGGGACUCCAAAAUAAUUAUAAAAGUAAUAUCAAAGACCACUGGUCACAGAUUACUAUGACAGAUAUAACAAUCAUGAAAAUGUUUGAAAUAUUACAAGUAUUACCAAAAUGUUACACAGAAACAAGCGAGCACAUGCUACUGGGGAAAGGGAACCUCUAGAUUUGCUUGCACCAGGGUUGCCACAAAACUUCAAUUCAUAAAAAGUGCAGUAUCUGCAAAAUGCAAUAAAGCAAAGUGCAGAAAAAUGAAGUAUGCCUGUAUUGGCGUGUAAGUAAUAGGGGGAAAAGAUUACUCCUUGCAUGAUGCCAAGAUUUCUGGCCUGGGAAGCUGGGUAUAUGGUGAUGUCAUUAAUCAAUAUAAUAAACACAGGAGGAACAAUCUCAGAGAGAGAGUGACAAGUUCCUCUUCUCACUUGCUGAGUUUGAGGUGCCUCAGUGGUAUCCAAGAAGAAAGAUAACCUGUGAUCAGCUGAAUAAAUAGUUCUGAAAUACAGAAAAUGCAUCUUGGCUAGAGAUGCAUAAAUUUGGAACUAUCACAAAGGGGACAAAUGCCUAAGGAUCAUUCAAAGAUGAAAAUUAAAGGCUAUCCAGUAAACCAAAAGAUUAUUUCUCCAGAGAUUCUGUAUAUACAAUAAUUGUCUUAUUAUACACAGCAUUACAGUUUACAAAGUACUUACAUAAAAUGAUUCAUUUGAUUCACAAAAAUCCCUCAUGGGAAAUAAUGUGCUAUAAUUCUCACAUUACAGUUAGGAAAAUUGAGGUUCAAUUUUGUUAAGAGACUCAUGAGAGGUUGCCCAUCUAAAGUUGUGGAGACAAGUCCAA
rnacentral:lncRNA from 1 species